UUCCGGUUGAUCCCGCCGGACCCCACUGCUAUCGGGAUAGGACUAAGACAUGCUAGUCAAGCGCUCCCCAGCCAAAGGGGAGUGCGGCAUACAGCUCAGUAGCACGUGGCUAACCUGCCCUUGGGACAGGGACAACCCCGGGAAACUGGGGCUAAUCCCCAAUAGGCGAAGGCUUCUGGAAUGAACUUUCACCCGAAAGGAUACCUACGCUAUGCUCGUAGGCUUCGCCCAAGGAUGGGGCCGCGACCGAUCAGGUUGUUGGUGAGGCAACGGCUCACCAAGCCUAUAACCGGUGCGGGCCGUGGGAGCGGGAGCCCGGAGAUGGGCACUGAGACAAGGGCCCAGGCCCUACGGGGCGCAGCAGUCGCGCAACCUUUGCAAUACACGCAAGUGUGACAGGGCUAUCCCGAGUGCCGUCCGCUGAGGAUGGCUUUUACCCAGUCUAGAAAGCUGGGGGAAUAAGGAGAGGGCAAGUCUGGUGUCAGCCGCCGCGGUAAAACCAGC
rnacentral:rRNA from 1 species